GACGAACGCUGGCGGCGUGCUUAACACAUGCAAGUCGAACGGUAAGGCCCUUCGGGGUACACGAGUGGCGAACGGGUGAGUAACACGUGGGUGAUCUGCCCUGCACUUCGGGAUAAGCCUGGGAAACUGGGUCGAAUACCGGAUAGGACUCCGGACUGCAUGGUCUGGGGUGGAAAGCUUUUGCGGUGUGGGAUGGGCCCGCGGCCUAUCAGCUUGUUGGUGGGGGGAUGGCCUACCAAGGCGACGACGGGUAGCCGGCCUGAGAGGGUGACCGGCCACACUGGGACUGAGAUACGGCCCAGACUCCUACGGGAGGCAGCAGUGGGGAAUAUUGCACAAUGGGCGCAAGCCUGAUGCAGCGACGCCGCGUGAGGGAUGACGGCCUUCGGGUUGUAAACCUCUUUCAGCACAGACGAAGCGCAAGUGACGGUAUGUGCAGAAGAAGGACCGGCCAACUACGUGCCAGCAGCCGCGGUAA
rnacentral:rRNA from 1 species